GGGUGGGAAGGUGAUCUGGCUGCGAUAUCUGUCACCCCAUGGGUCGCCAGAGUUGAUGUGGCUGAUCUGACUGGCUAGGCGGGUGUCCCCUUCCUCCCUCACCGCUCCGGGUGCAUCCCUCCUGAAGCUGCAAGUUCAGUUGAAGAGGACCAACCUUCCCCCAAAGAAGGAGGACCAUCCUUCGGUCAAGGGUAUCUGAGUAGCUGUGCUCCCCUACUGGAACCUCCAAACCAGUCUCAAGAAGGUGUGUGUGUGCUGGGGUGUAGAAGACAGGGGGCCAAGAGGAUCAAGGAGUGGACAGGAAAAGGUCAGGCAGGGACUUGUAGGUCAUAUUAAAAACCUGGAUCUUU
rnacentral:snRNA from 1 species